rnacentral:rRNA from 1 species
AACGUAGGAGACAAACGUUAUCCGGAGUUACUGGGCGUAAAGGGCGCGUAGGCGGCGCAACAAGUCACUUGUGAAAUCUCCGGGCUUAACUCGGAGCGGCCAAGUGAUACUGUCGUGCUAGAGUGCGGAAGGGGCUACUGGAAUUCUCGGUGUAGCGGUGAAAUGCGUAGAUAUCGAGAGGAACACCUGCGGCGAAGGCGGGUAGCUGGGCCGACACUGACGCUGAGGCGCGAAAGCUAGGGGAGCGAACGGG